rnacentral:rRNA from 1 species
GUAUGGGGCAAGCGUUGUUCGGAUUUAUUGGGCGUAAAGGGCGUGUAGGCGGCUCAUCAAGUCUGGUGUGAAAUCGCAGGGCUUAACCCUUGGCAUAUGCGCUGGAAACUGGUGGGCUUGAGUUCUUGAGGGGAAGCUGGAAUUCCAGGUGUAGGGGUGAAAUCUGUAGAUAUCUGGAAGAACACCGGUGGCGAAGGCGAGCUUCUAUCAGAGGACUGACGCUGAGGCGCGAAAGCGUGGGGAGCAAACAGGAUUAGAUACCCUGGUAGUCCACGCUGUAAACGAUGUGCACUAGGCGUGGGGCCCGUACGGGUUCUGUGCCGUAGUUAACGUGUUAAGUGCACCGCCUGGGGAGUAUGCUCGCAAGGGUG